rnacentral:rRNA from 1 species
GAUCAUGGCUCAGGAUGAACGCUAGCUACAGGCUUAACACAUGGCAAGUCGAGGGAAACGACAUCGAAAGCUUGCUUUUGAUGGGCGUCGACCGGCGCACGGGUGAGUAACGCGUAUCCAACCUGCCCGUCACUUGGGGAUAACCUUGCGAAAGUAAGACUAAUACCCGAUGAUAUCCCUAGAAGACAUCUGAAAGGGAUUAAAGAUUUAUCGGUGAUGGAUGGGGAUGCGUCUGAUUAGCUUGUUGGCGGGGUAACGGCCCACCAAGGCAACGAUCAGUAGGGGUUCUGAGAGGAAGGUCCCCCACAUUGGAACUGAGACACGGUCCAAACUCCUACGGGAGGCAGCAGUGAGGAAUAUUGGUCAAUGGGCGAGAGCCUGAACCAGCCAAGUAGCGUGCAGGAUGACGGCCCUAUGGGUUGUAAACCGCUUUUGAUUGGGAACAAAGAGCGCCACGUGUGGUGCGUUGCGUGUACCUUUCGAAUAAGCAUCGGCUAAUUCCGUG